rnacentral:lncRNA from 1 species
GGAUGGAGAGAGUAUCACCCUUCUAUAAUACAGAGAGAGUGUUCUUUGGGUCCAUGUUUGUUUGUCAGCCCUUGUAUUGUACAUGUUCAGCCCAAAAAUGUGUUUAGUUUAAUUACCCAUUGAUUUUUUUAUUUCUCCAUGUUAUAUUUUCAUUUGUUGAAUUCAUAAAGAUUGAUUGUUUUGCUGAUGUAAUUCAAUUAUUUCACAAUUUUCAUUUCUCUUUUAGCUAUUUUAUUGUUUGACGUUAUAUUUAAGUUUGUUCAAUUUGUGAAAUUUAUCCUUUGAUGUGUACAAACCUUUGUUCCGUAAGUCUAUAUUUAUCAUUUUAAUAAAUUUAUAUUAACAAUAUUUACUUAUCAUUUUAUAAUAUUUGUUGCAUAUCCGUAAUAGUUUGUUACUAUUGUAUACACAUUUUGUUUUUCCCGUAUAAAUUUUGUUUCGCUUAAUUACAAUUUUUUGUCGUGGUGAAAUAUUUUUUGUGACGCAGGCCAAAAGCAUAAGAAUAUAGUAGUGACGAAUGAUCAAAUAACCAAUCUAUAAGCGUAAGAAAAUCACACGGGAUGCU